rnacentral:rRNA from 1 species
GACGAACGCUGGCGGCGUGCCUAAUACAUGCAAGUCGAACGCAGUGGGGACGGGUGAGUAACACGUGGGUAACCUCCCAUCAGAUGGGAUAACACUUGGAAACAGGUGCUAAACCUAUACUGAUGGAUGAACCCGCGGUGCAUUAGCUAGUUGGGAAGGUAACGGCUCACCAAGGCCACGAUGCAUAGCAGACCUGAGAGGGUGAUCGGCCACACUGGAACUGAGACACGGCCCAGACUCCUACGGGAGGCAGCAGUAGGGAAUAUUCGGCAAUGGGCGCAAGUCUGACGGAGCAACGCCGCGUGAGUGAAGAAGGUUUUCGGGUCGUAAAGCUCUGUUGUUAGGGAAGCGGUAUCUAAAGAGAAAGCCACGGCUAACUACGUGCCAGCAGCCGCGGUAAUAC